AGGUCAGACAAAACUGUGGUGCAAUUUUCACGAUCACCACCAGAGGGCGCGGCUUCCUUCAGAUGCGGUUCCUCAUUGUAUUCAGGAGCUGGUUUCACUUGCCUGCUUUGUAGCCACAAGACAGAAUAUUGCUGCAGUACAGAAAGGGGCUCUCAGUUUCUGAGCGAGGAGCUUCUGUAACAUCCAGAUGAAGACUAGAUUUGUUAGACUGGUGUAUUGCAGGGAACAAGGAUCGUUUUCUUUGGCGAACAUGCAUUCUGCCACUCACUCAGUUCUUCUGAUCAUCUUAAUAUUCAGAGGGACCAAUGGUGACUCAGUGAACCAGACAGAGGGCCCAGUGACUGUCUCAGAGGGGGCUCUCAUGACCCUGAACUGCAUUUACCAGACUCCUAGUUCGUCUCCCUAUCUUUACUGGUAUGUCCAGCAUCUCAACAAAGCUCCUCAACUCCUCCUGAAGGGCUUAACAGCAGACCAGAAGGUAGAGCAUGAAAGUUUUCAGGCCACUCUUGUUAAGCGUGACAGCUCCUUCCACCUGCAGAAACGGGCAGUGCAAGCAUCAGACUCGGCUGUGUACUACUGUGCUCUGAGUGACACAGUGAGAGAGGGCUGCGGGGGAGCUGAGCACAAACCCCGAGUGCAGAUGGGGCUCUGGCUGUGGACAGCCCUGCAGGGGGGUUGUUGUUUCUGUCUUAGGUGUUUUAUGCUAGCUGUGUUGUUGUUUAUGUACUAAGUCACGUCCGACUCUUUUACUACCCUAUGACUGUAGUGGGCUCUUCUGUCCAUGGGAUUUCCCAGGCAAGAAGACUGGAGUGGGUUGCCAUUUCUUUCUCUUGGGAAUUAUCCCAACCCGGGAAUGGUACCCGUGUCUCCUGUUUGGCAGGCAGAUUCUUUACCACUGAGCCACCGGGGAAGCCCCUGUUUUAUGCCAGAGACAUUUUCAAAGUACUUCCAGCUCUGAAGCUGAGUGCCAAGAAUACUGCAAUUCUUGGAUUGGUCUACAGAGAGGAAUCUGGGAGGGACAGUGAAGAGAGGAAUCUAAAAGGCCUUCUCCAGAAAUGCCUGUUUUGAGCCCAGUGACAUUUCUCCAGAUGGCAUAGAAUUCCUGGAAGUGACAUUAACUCUGUUCAAUGACAGUUCAGUUGAUAUAUGCUGAAAUAUGUCACAACCUGUUGAUGAAAACUUCCAGGGCACCUCAUUCAUGGAUGAACGUAUGACCUUGAAGCUACUGUCUGAUUUUUAUAAUUCAGACCACAAUUUUGUGUCUUGCUGAGUUUCACCUGCAGACAGUCUGUCUUUAGUGUCUGGGACCUUUACACUCUCUUCCCUUGACUUUUCCAACUCUUAUGGUUGCUCAAGAAAUGCUGCUGCUGUGAGUCCCAUGAAGAUGGUUUCCUGAGAAGAUAUUCCUUCUGUCAAGGACCCUGGGGGUCAGAGCAGUCUAGUCAGUGAACAUUUUGUGCAUGAGGUGUCUUGCUUCUAUGUUGGUGACACAGCUCCACCCUCAUCUUGUCAUCAUGGCAGCUCUUUACAGAAUGCUAGGUCAUGAUCGCGAUUCUGGUCUUGAGGAUCUGUGCUGUGAGA